ensembl:snoRNA Gm25379 small nucleolar RNA SNORA65
CUAAAUACUGUAAUGGUCCCCUUUAAAAGAACGAGGACUCAGUGCUGAGCUGUCAGUAAGCCCCAGCUAUUAGGAAACAGGGUUGUCCUACAUGUGGGUGACUCUGUGCCGAAAGCAUGGGAACAGCC